rnacentral:rRNA from 1 species
GAUGAACGCUAGCGGCAGGCCUAACACAUGCAAGUCGAGGGGCAUCAUGGCGUAGCAAUACGCUGAUGGCGACCGGCGCACGGGUGCGUAACGCGUAUGGAACCUACCCACCGCAGGGGGAUAACCCGCCGAAAGGCGGACUAAUACCCCAUGGUUCCCCGACCCUGCCUGGGGUUGGGGGUAAAGCCUACGGGCGGCGGUGGAUGGCCCUGCGUGCCAUUAGCUGGCUGGUGGGGUAACGGCCCACCAGGGCGACGAUGGCUAGGGGGUCUGAGAGGACGAUCCCCCACACUGGUACUGAGACACGGACCAGACUCCUACGGGAGGCAGCAGUGAGGAAUAUUGGUCAAUGGGCGCAAGCCUGAUCCAGCAAUGCCGCGUGCAGGAAGAAGGCCUUCGGGUUGUAAACUGCUUUUGUACGGAACGAAACGGUCUGGGUUAAUACCCUGGGCUAAUGACGGUACCGUAAGAAUAAGCACCGGCUAACUACGUG